CACACCCGAACUCAGCUUCUCUACCUUUGAUGGGUUUUUUUAAUCCUCAUUCUCCCAUCAGUCUCAGUCCUAUAACAGAUGUGGUUUCAGUUUUAAGGAGUGUAAUGCAUACAAAAAUGGCUGACUGAAAAAAUAUGUAUGUGCACAGCAAAGGUCUGUCAUACCAUCCUGGGUGUACCACACCCUUGUGCCCUGUGCUGUCUCCUUCAUGCCUGACCAGGAUAAGUGACUCUGUGCAUUCUGUAGUGCCCUGUGCUGUCUCCUUCAUGCCUGACCAGGAUAAGUGACUCUGUGCAUUCUGUAGUGCCCUUUGCAACUUCAAAUCCUCCCUCGUUCAUAAGUUCUUCAUUACGACUUCUAUCAUAUUUCAUUACCCAGCCUUAAACAAUUUUCUAGAGCAACUCUGAAGAAGUCUGCGUAAACAGUGUGGCGUGUUUGAGAGGAGACGCUUUAUACGUGUACGGUAUUACGGCAUGUUCACGUGCCACUGAUGAUUGUCGAUCCUUAUUGAUGAUGUCACGUGAGAAUGGAUAUCAGCGAACCUGUUGUGAUUAUUUCGUUUAAACACGUCUUUGUGUUCGUAUGGAGAUAACUGCUUGUUUAUCUGGAUAUGAGCGAAAAGAGAACACCUGUAACGGUAUCAUUUAUUGCCGGGUUAUUUAUUUAACUUCCACUGAGUAGCGGAAGGACAGGAUCCCGAGACAUUAAGCAUCAUUCCCCGUAACGGGGAGCCGCUGUCAUUUUGGGGGAGACUCCCGGACACGUGGGAAGUUGCUUGAUGUUACUUAAUUUUGAUCGUUUCCAAAACCGAAGUGGGUGCCCGGGUGGCCUUAUCUUCACAGCACACACGUUUCAGCGCAGGUCCAUUUGUAGAGAUGGAGUGCAGUCAUUAAUGGACCCCAGAAGAAGGCUUCACUGGGCGGAGCCAUCAUCCGUCCACGGCUCUGAUGUGAUCCAGAGGAUCGCCACCUGCUCGGGGCUGUCCAGCAAUCUUGAGGCAAGACAAGAAAAGAGCAGCUCGAGCGCGAGAAAGAGUGAAUGCUAAACUUCAGUGAGAAAGCCAACUCCAUCAUCAUCGUCUUUAUCAUCAUUAAAACAGAGUC